UUCACCCAGAUAGUAAGGUUCCAUUUGGUGAUGGGGAAUGGAAGUAAGUCUAGCUCUUUUCCCACAGAAGGAGGUACAGCCAUCUGGCGUUUGGAGAUUUUGAAUUUCUUGUUAAUGGCAAAAUCUGGAACAUUGUUGCGACUCAGGCAGCUAGUCCAUGAUGGUCACCGUUCCGAAGGAAAAAGAGCAGCCUUGGGUAGGGACACUGCUCAUGGGGAUCUACGUCAUGUAAAUGUCCACCGAGAAAGGGACCAACACAACUAGUCUGAAAAUGCCAAUAUGGCAUCCCUGAGGAGGAGGUGGACCUGCCCCUGGAAUGCAGAACAUACCUUCUAAGAUGUCAUGAAACGUACGUUCUCAUUCCAUCCCUCCGUUACAUGUGGAACUGCCCAGGAGGUUUGGGGACCUGUUAUGCUGAGAUGAUAACUUCAGAGCGUUCUUCUAAGUGCUUUACAGAUGAUUACCUUAUUUAAUUCUUAUGACAACCUUGUGAAAUAGGUACUAUUGAUUUACGGAUAGAGAAAUGGAGGCAAGGAAAUGAUACUUUACACAGCCCAUUGGAGUGCCCUAUUUUUCAAGACUACCAUCAGCGCUUCAGAUGCAAGAGACAGCAAGCUAGUAUUAGCAGUCCUAAAAAUAAUAGUUGUAAAAAAUAGCUGCACACAUUUCAACUCAGAAACAACACCCACUUUAAAAAGAUGCACCAAUGCUCAGACAGCCACACGGGUUUCCAGGACUUAGUUUUCAAAGUUGCAGAAGUAUUUCCAGUAAAAAAGAUGCUUAGGAAUAGACCGUAGCCAAAAGUAGAAGAAGGAAACUGCAACAUGCUUGGAGGCGACUCUGGAAAACCAAGAAAUCAAAUGGAUUGAAGGCACAGCCCAUGGACCCACAUCUUCCCGGAAAAGAAAUAAAUGGUGUUGGUAGU
rnacentral:lncRNA from 1 species